rnacentral:rRNA from 1 species
CAGCAGCCACGGUAAUACAGAGGGUGCGAGCGUUAAUCGGAAUUACUGGGCGUAAAGCGUGCGCAGGCGGUUAUAUAAGACAGAUGUGAAAUCCCCGGGCUCAACCUGGGAACUGCAUUUGUGACUGUAUAGCUAGAGUACGGCAGAGGGGGAUGGAAUUCCGCGUGUAGCAGUGAAAUGCGUAGAUAUGCGGAGGAACACCGAUGGCGAAGGCAAUCCCCUGGGCCUGUACUGACGCUCAUGCACGAAAGCGUGGGGAGCAAACAGGAUUAGAUACCCCGGUAGUCCCUGUCUCUUAUAC